CUGCAAUGAUGUCUUGAAUUUCUUCACCUGAAUUCACUGUGAAGAAGUGUUUUUUAACCCUGAGCUAC